AGUGAACGCUGGCGGUAGGCCUAACACAUGCCAGUCGAACGGCAGCACAGUAAGAGCUUGCUCUUACGGGUGGCGAGUGGCGGACGGGUGAGGAAUACAUCGGAAUCUACUUUUUCGUGGGGGAUAACGUAGGGAAACUUACGCUAAUACCGCAUACGACCUACGGGUGAAAGCAGGGGAUCUUCGGACCUUGCGCGAAUGAAUGAGCCGAUGUCGGGUUAGCUAGUUGGCGGGGUAAAGGCCCACCAAGGCGACGAUCCGUAGCUGGUCUGAGAGGAUGAUCGGCCACACUGGAACUGAGACACGGUCCAGACUCCUACGGGAGGCAGCAGUGGGGAAUAUUGGACAAUGGGCGCAAGCCUGAUCCAGCCAUACCGCGUGGGUGGAGAAGGCCUUCGGGUUGUAAAGCCCUUUUGUUGGGAAAGAAAAGCAGCAGGUUAAUACCCCGCUGUUCUGACGGUACCCAAAGAAUAAGCACCGGCUAACUUCGUG
rnacentral:rRNA from 1 species